UACGUAGGGUGCGAGCGUUGUCCGGAAUUAUUGGGCGUAAAGGGCUCGUAGGCGGUUUGUCGCGUCGGGAGUGAAAACACCGGGCUUAACCCCAGUCCUGCUUCCGAUACGGGUGGACUAGAGGUAGGCAGGGGAGAACGGAAUUCCUGGUGUAGCGGUGAAAUGCGCAGAUAUCAGGAGGAACACCGGUGGCGAAGGCGGUUCUCUGGGCCUUACCUGACGCUGGAGGAGCGAAAGCGUGGGGAGCAAACAGG
rnacentral:rRNA from 1 species